CCUACGGGUGGCAGCAGUGAGGAAUAUUGGUCAAUGGGCGGAAGCCUGAACCAGCCAAGUAGCGUGCAGGAUGACGGCCCUACGGGUUGUAAACUGCUUUUAUAUGGGAAUAAAAUGUUUCACGUGUGCGCUUUUGUAUGUACCAUAUGAAUAAGGAUCGGCUAACUCCGUGCUAGCCGCCGAGGUAAUACGGAGGGUCCGAGCGUUAUCCGGAUUUAUUGGGUUUAAAGGGAGCGUAGGUGGAGUGUUAAGUCAGUUGUGAAAGUUUGCGGCUCAACCGUGAAAUUGCAGUUGAAACUGGCAGUCUGGAGUGCAGUAGAGGUGGGCGGAAUUCGUGGUGUAGCGGUGAAAUGCUUAGAUAUCACGAAGAACUCCGAUUGCGAAGGCAGCUCACUGGACUGCAACUGACACUGAGGCUCGAAAGUGUGGGUAUCAAACAGGAUUAGAUACCCCUGUAGUC
rnacentral:rRNA from 1 species